rnacentral:rRNA from 1 species
AGGAUGAACGCUGGCGGCGUGCCUAACACAUGCAAGUCGAACGUCCUGUCUCGCAAGAGGCAGGGAGUGGCGGACGGGUGAGUACCACGUGGGUCAUCUACCGUGAGGUGAGGAAUACCGGCGAGAAAUCGCCGACAAGACCGCAUAGCCUCGGUGCAAGUCGAGGAAAGCUCUCUCGAGAGAGGGAGCGCCACACGAGGAGCCUGCGCCCGAUUAGCUAGCUGGUGGAGUAAUGGUUCACCAGGGCGACGAUCGGUAGCUGGUCUGAGAGGACGAUCAGCCACACUGGGAUUGAGAACGGCCCAGACUCCUACGGGGGCAGCAGUGAGGAAUUUUCGUCAAUGGGGGCAACCCUGAACGAGCAACGCCGCGUGCAGGAAGAAGGUUUCGGAUCGUAACUGCUUUUCUCGGGAAGAGAACGGACGGUACCCGAGGAAUCAGCCCCGGCUAACUCGCGCCAGCAGCCGCGGU